rnacentral:rRNA from 1 species
CUACGGGGGGCAGCAGGUAAGGAAAUUUUGCAAUGCGCGAAAGCGUGACAGAGCAAGCCAGAGUGUUUCUCUUUUUGAGAAACUUUUGUUAGCUGUAAAAGGCUGAUGAAUAAGGACUGGCAAGACCGGUGCCAGCCGCGCGGUAAUACCGGCGGUCCAAGUCGCAGCCACAUUUAUUGGGUCUAAAACAUUCGUAGCUUGCUGUGUAAGUCUCUUGUGAAAUCCUACAUCUCAAGUGUAGGGCGGGCAGGGGAUACUGCGCAGCUAGAGACCGGAGGGUGUAAAGAGUAUGAUUGGGGUAGUGGUAAAAUACGUUAAUCCUAAUCAGACUAACAAUAGCGAAGGCACUUUACAACGACGGAUCUGACAGUGAGGGAUGAAGGCUAGGGGCGCAAAACGGAUUAGAUACCCUCGUAGUC